GUCUAUGGUCAUACCACUCUGAAUGCACCCAAUCUCGUCUGAUCUCAGAAGCUAAGCAGGGUCGGACCUGGUUAGUACUUGGAUGGGAGGAUAAGUGUGACACGACAUAUGGAUC
rnacentral:rRNA from 1 species